rnacentral:rRNA from 1 species
GGGUGCGUAACACGUGGGAAUUUAUCCGGAAGUGGGGGAUAGCUUGCCGAAAGGCAAAUUAAUACCGCAUAUGCCCGUAAGGGCAAAGUGGGGGACCGCAAGGCCUCACGCUAUCGGAGGAGCCCGCGCCCUAUCAGCUAGUUGGUGAGGUAAUGGCUCACCAAGGCUUAGACGGGUAGCUGGUCUGAGAGGACGACCAGCCACACUGGAACUGAGACACGGUCCAGACACCUACGGGUGGCAGCAGUCGAGGAUUUUUCUCAAUGGGGGCAACCCUGAAGGAGCGACGCCGCGUGGAGGAUGAAGGGCUUCGGCUCGUAAACUCCUGUCACCGACGAACAAGGCAUCCGGAUUAAUAAAUCGGAUGCUUGAUGGUAGUCGGAGAGGAAGGGGCGGCUAACUCUGUGCCAGCAGCCGCGGUGAUACAGAGGCCCCAAGCGUUGUUCGGAUUUACUGGGCGUAAAGGGUGUGUAGGGGUCGUGUAAGUUUGACGUGA